ACUACAACAGCAGGUAGAUCCUUGCAGCAGAAUAGUGCACCAGUGACUAGCUGGCAUGCAGGCAUCAGCUUUUGAAAACAUUUUCUUGAUUAGUUCACUGAAAGAAAUCUAAAGGAGAGAUGGAAGGCAUACAUUCUCAGAUGGCAUUGGAAAAUAGUUACUCUAAAUCACAAAGAUCUGAAUACUAUUGUCAGUCACACAGAUAUAAAUGUUGAAGUAACUCAGUUAAACUUACUAAAGUUACACUGGUGUAACUAAUGGCAGAACUGGGCUUGAUACAUGUUUCUUACAUCUUGUAGACUUUGCCAGUAUGUAUAGUUUGUGCACCGGAGGUCGCUAGUGCACCUCCCCCUCUUUCCUCUGCCCCCUGCUUGUCUCCUGUUUUGAAUUUGGUUGGUGACUGCAAAUUUAGGUUAGCACCGACUGACUGCUCAAGCAUCAGCUCCUGCUGUGAGUGGAAUUGACUAAACGUACAAGAUACCUGCUAAAUAAAUUUCACAGCAGUUUCUCCAACUCCCAUUUUAGGAACUAAUUGUCAAUCAAAUAGACAUUGAGAAAAUGAUAGUUUAACAUCCAUUCAUUUGUUUUGUGAGCUGGCAGCCCACUAAUGAAUGAAAGCCACUCUGUCAUCUGGCCCACUUUCUUUAAAUCAGUUGUUACCACCAGUUUGAGAAUCACUGAUCAAAAACAAAAAGGGUAGAUUAAGAAACUGCAUUUCUUUAGCCUCAUUAAAAAUGCUCUUAAUCUCUGCAGCAAACAUAUGGGGCAGGAAAAUAACUUCUUAAGGGAGGUAACCUAAAUGGUAGUUCAUCCUUGCCAGAGGUUUUUGCUUAAUCCAUCAGUAUACUCAAUAUUGCCUUUUGAUCAACAAGAAAAAUACAAAACUUCUGAGCAACUUAUUCAUCAAACUAAUCAAUCAGGCAACCAUUUAAUUCUGAGCUCUGACAAAUACUGUAUUGACAACUCAGCUCCAUAACUGGACUCAACCUGCUGUUUUUAUUAGAGAUGGCCAGAGCUGAGGAAACUCAGAUACAAACUUCCUGAAGUGUGAGCUGACUUAGGUAUGGGGUCCUGGUUCAAGUCUGUCAUUAGUGUUGAUUUUUAAUGACUAUGAAAGUAAUAAAACAUUUUAAAUAAUAUAUUUAGUCAGUUUAAUUUUAAACUUUUAUAACAUACUGAGAAGGAUGGUCCAGUUCCUCCUACAGAUGUAUCAAUGUUACAUGAAUGUGAAUUGUCUUUUUUAGACCUGUAAUAUACAAAAUUGUAGGCAUGCUUCCAAAAUAUACAUACUGCAUAUUAUGGCAUUUCUGUGAUUUAGUCAUCACAAUAAUACUUUAAUUUAGUCUACCAGUUAGUUUUCUUCACAUUGGAUACUUUUUGAAUUCUGGGUAAUGGAUAUAAUAAGGAACUAGUUCCACAAUAUUUCAAAUCAUUCCACACAUCUCAGUCCACCAUCUGCUUCUUGGCUUCUUUUUUGCACUAAGGAAAAAGAUACAAAGCGAUGAGGGUUAUGAUUGUUGUUGGCGCUAUGAUCAUAGUGUCAAUCUCAGUAUCAGCAUAUAAACCCUCUUCAAAGCCAAUGUUUUGGGGUGUUGUUGGCAUCUUGAUGUCAAGUGCCUAUAUUGACUGACUUUUGCUUCUGACCCUGAUGUCAAGUUAUUCCAGAUGUUUUCAAAAUCUGAUGCCUGAACACUAGAUGCUUUGGCAUUGGGUAUGUCAGCAGUGAGCUUUUCUAUGUUAUUGCCAUGGCAUUAGGCAUGUGAGCCUCAGGCAUUGAAUAAUUGGGUCCAAGUGUUGACUACUACCCAUGUCAUCUCUACCAUUAAGAUAAGCACUGGCCAUGGAUUGAGCCCCAUUAGAAAUGUCUCUUCUUAGUCCUAUUCUUCCUGGGGCCUGAGUAGAGGAACCUCUCAUGUUUCUGCUUUCUAUUGGUAAAAUUUUCAAAAGUGCCUAACUCCUGUUGACUUUCAGUGAGGCUUAGGCUUCUAAGUCACUUUGAAAAUUUAGCCUAUACCUGAGUCCUGCAGUCUUUUUUAAAGUAAAAUUCCUCAGACUUUAGGUCUGGGGACUACUUAUUAACCACUUAAAGCAGGGAGCCUUGCAGGGAAUGCUUGAAGAAUGUGUGGUUACUUACCAUAGUUGUUCUUUGAGAUGAUAGGGCAAAUCCAGGCAACCAACCUGCCAUGCUGCCCCACUAUUUUAUAAUCUUUCAAGAGAUGCUUGAGUUUAUAGAAGGAACAGAGUGGUGUUUGGGCUGUAAAGACAUAGGCAGUUGCACAAGAGUUGUACACUUGUCUGGCCUGUACAAUGGCAAUGCCCGUAGAACCACUGUUUCUGGUAGGAAAAUGUUCCUUUUGCAUAUAUAUUAAAUAAAAAAUAAUUAUGCUUUGUUCUACAUCUUUUUACAUCUCCUUUUAGAAGCAGCUAACGGCUGAUGCUUUAACAAGUCAGUCCUUCACUUUUCUUUGUAUAGACAAGCAAAGGCUAGAGGCUGAGUGACAUUAACUGAAAUGUACUGUUGUGAAUGUUUUUCUGUUUAGAGGUCUUUGAAGUAAAGAUCAGAAAUUAUUCUCUCACACACACGCCUCUGAUGUUUUCAAGUGGUACUGCUCUGAUACAACAUAUAUAAACCCUGAACAUAAAAAGUAUGAUUGUUUUCAGCAUUAUCUAAUUAAAUGAGAAAUCUGGAGAAUGAACAGAAUGAUUUGCUACUUCCAGAUUAAUUAUGCAUCUAUAAAUCUAUUGUAAAACUCACCACAAGGUUAAUUAGCUGUAACUCAUGGCAUUGAUCCUAAUAAAUACCAACAAUUUUAACCUGUUCAUAAUGCAGCUCAUAAAGAACUUGCCCUGCUGUACCUAUUGAAAAGCCAGGAGGCGAGCAGGUGCAAGCCAGUCUUGCUCUGCUGUAGUUGAAGGUAACAUAACUAUUGAAAAUGAAAUUUAAUGGAAACUGUUACUUCAGGAUUUGAGUAUCUUAAUUUAAGUGAAACAUCUAUGUUAAAAAUGAGAGUACAUAUUAAUAACUUAAGAGUAAUUGACAUUCUUGGCAAUGAAAGUCUGCAGAUCCAUUACAGUGGGUUUUUCACCUGCUUGCAGUUCCUUAGAGGCGGAACCAGACUUGUAAAUCAAUGCAGACUGGGACUAGCCACACCCCUGAAGACCUUAUCAGUUCAGUCUGCCUCCAGCAGCUGCGGCUAUCCACUGCACAAGCCCACUGUGCCCUGCUGAGGGAGCCAUCCAGCCUCCGCAUACUGCAAGUCACUAUACCCCACAGUUGGCCAUAGAGAGAGAAGAGUGAGAGCAGCCCAGAUCUGCAAGCAGAUGCGAUGCAUCUCUGUGCCAGAAGAGCAGUUAAACUAGUCUCCAUGGUUUAACUGUCUUCCCCAGUGGUUGGAACAUGGGUACUCUGCCAUAACGGUACACAUGGUCAAGGAUGCUUUGGAAAGUAAACACUGACCUGGAAGGAACACACAUUGUCUGUGUUUCUGAACACUCCGUCCACACAGCUUUCUUUGCUUUAAAGGUGAAUAUUAGAUGUUAAAUGCCACACGCGUUAGAAAAAAAGAGAGACAGAAUCUGAGUUAAACUCUGCCUCGUUGUCUGCAUUGCAAAUAAAUUAUCUUCUUUAUGGAGCUGCACAGAAUUGUGCAUGA